rnacentral:rRNA from 1 species
GCAACCUACCUUAAACUGGGGGAUAGCCCGGGGAAACCCGGAUUAAUACCGCAUAAGAUCACACGAGGGCAUCCGAGAGUGAUUAAAGAUUUAUUGGUUUAAGAUGGGCAUGCGUGCCAUUAGCUAGUUGGUAGGGUAACGGCCUACCAAGGCUACGAUGGCUAGGGGUUCUGAGAGGAUGAUCCCCCACACUGGCACUGAGAUACGGGCCAGACUCCUACGGGAGGCAGCAGUAGGGAAUAUUGGGCAAUGGACGAAAGUCUGACCCAGCCAUGCCGCGUGCAGGAAGAAGGCCUUCUGGGUUGUAAACUGCUUUUAUCUGGGAAGAAAAUACCCCUGCGGGGGAGACUGACGGUACCAGAUGAAUAAGCACCGGCUAACUCCGUGCCAGCAGCCGCGGUAAUACGGAGGGUGCAAGCGUUGUCCGGAUUUAUUGGGUUUAAAGGGUGCGUAGGCGGCCCGUUAAGUCAGUGGUGAAAGCCUCCAGCUCAACUGGAGAACUGCCAUUGAUACUGACGGGCUUGAGUACAGACGAGGUUGGCGGAAUUGAUUGUGUAGCGGUGAAAUGCAUAGAUACAAUCAAGAACUCCGAUUGCGUAGGCAGCUAACUAGGCUGUAACUGACGCUGAGGCACGAAAGCGUGGGGAGCGAACAGGAUUAGAUACCCUGGUAGUCCACGCCGUAAACGAUGAUUACUCGAUGUUGGCGAUAAACUGUCAGCGUCUUAGCGAAAGCGUUAAGUAAUCCACCUGGGGAGUACGCCCGCAAGGGUGAAACUCAAAGGAAUUGACGGGGGCCCGCACAAGCGGUGGAGCAUGUGGUUUAAUUCGAUG